AGUCGUAACAAGGUUUCCGUAGGUGGAACCUGCGGAAGGGACAUUAUCGUAGGGCUUCGGCCCUGUCGAGAUAGCAAGCCCUUGCCGUUUAUGAGGUACCGUCCGUUUCCUCGGCAGGUCCGCCUGCCGAUGGACCCAAAACCAAACCCUUUUAUUACCUGUAUCAGUCUGAAAAAUAAACAAAAAUUAAAA
rnacentral:misc_RNA from 1 species